AUGACUAGUAACAGKKCCCCCACCCUCACCGUYCUGCCCCCCUCUAGUGAGGARCUGUCCAGUACMACAACAGCCACACUGACGUGUCUGGCCAACAAGGGCUUCCCUUCAGACUGGACCAUGAGCUGGAAAGUGGACGGGACCAGCAAGAACCAGGAGAUCAGUUCUAGGGUCCUGGAGAAGGAUGGUCUGUACAGCUGGAGCAGCACCCUGACUCUCUCUGCCCAGGAGUGGACCAAGGCAGGAGAGGUGACCUGUGAAGCCCAGCAGAAAUCCCAGACUCCAGUCACCAAGACCCUGAGGAAGGCUGACUGUUCUGAGUAGGACCCCUCAGUCACACAUCCCUGUGGA